UGACUUUCUUGCUUAAACAAGGAGGGAAAAAAUGAACUCAUAUGUAUGAUGUAAAUAGACUUAACCAUGGGUGGCUGUGGUUUACUAUAAAUAUUCAAUUCAUUAUGGCUGCAGAGACGUACGGCUCCUACUGCGUGCUGGUGUUCUUGCCCCUAUCUGUCACUGGCUGGUGUUUGUCAUAAGCCAGAACCCUCUUUAUUGUAACCCCCUCCCCCUUUUUUUUUCCUCCACACAUCCAGGAAUCAACACAUUUGGGAAUCUUCGUGAAAGCCCAGGACCUCUUAAGGGCGAGGAUCUCAUUGAGGGAGGUUUUUCAGCGGUGGAAAAAAGCGUAGGCCUGCGAGUUUGGAUCCCGUGAUGCAUUGCUGCUUGAAGUUACAUCUGCUCUUCUCUUUCAUCUCUGCUCUUGUUAACUGGGAGCUGUCACAUUAGGAGACUUCUGCAGAGCUCCUGAAGCCAACUUACCAGAGACUGCCCUACUGAAAGCUUUCUGAAAUCGUUCCGAAAUACGAUGCAUAAUCUCUUGAGAUUAACUCAACGGCAAAAAUUAAAAUGAUAGCAGUUCCUUCACUUCUGCCACUUGCUGAUGGACCAGAAGAAUGUGAACCUGCCUGCCUGGUUUCAGUAGUCUUUUCCUCAUUUGUUAAGGUGGGGAAAAUCUUGGCUAUGUUUGAGAAGGUAGAUGCAUCUCUCAGGUGUGCUACAAAUGGCCUCUGGUGACAUUAAUUCAGAAUAAGGUCAAGAUUAUCACCAUUAGAUUCAGACUGAGCUGGACGCUGGUGGAAGCAUGUGCAAAACAUAGUCCAAUGCAACAGUCCCUCCCUGUGAGCUGGGAAUAGCUGGAAUUCCUCUGUUGAGUGUUCAGCAGUCACGCUGUAUACUUUGUGUGCACCUACCACUACUGUGCAAGCAGCUUCUUUCCUACAGAAUCAACGUUUUAGAUGACAUGUUGUCGGAAUGACACUAUGAAGACCUGGCAAAUGUCACCUAUGCCAAGUAGAGACAGAGGGAACCACAAAACGCAGGUGGCACUGGCAGCGUCUUUAGAAUAUUAUCAUCACAAAGCAACAAGAGCCUGACGUUGCAUUGUAUCUGUUCAAUUAAUGUAUUUCUACCUCUGACUUUCCGUGUCAAUCCUGCCUGGUCUCUUCAGUAGCAAGGCAAUGAGGGAAGAAUGUAUCUUUUUUGAAGAAAGACAUUGGGAUUUUUGGACAUGCUAUGGUCUAGUUCUGUGAGUGGGACCACACGUACUGCUGCAGGAUGAAGAAAAACCAACAGCAACAGGCUAAGAAGAGUCAGCUCCAUAGCUCUGCCUCUGUUCACCCAUCUCACAUUCGAUUAGUCUCCGCUUGACAUCAGGCUGGGAGCAAUGAGCUCUGAUCAGAACAGUGGAUGUGGCAACAUGCCCGUGAGCUCCAUGUGUCACUCCAGAAUUAGAUGCUGUCCCACCGGAUUCCUCCAUAAAACAACUGAGGCAGAUACGUGGAGGCCAGAUUUGUCUUUCUUGUCUAUCUACCACACCCUCUGAGGUUAAGAAAAAAGGCAGAGCCACCUGCCAGAAAACAUUACAGUAGCAAUGAACUUUAAGACAAAGAAGGACAUUCAGAGAUGUUGGUUAUCCACCCAGGUAAAAGUGAGAAACAUUACACAAAUACUGUUGCCCUAAUGUACUCAUAUAUCUUGGUGGUGUUUUGUUUCUGAAUGAUCCUUUCUCGCGUACGUUAGACACUGGAAAGC
ensembl:lncRNA